rnacentral:rRNA from 1 species
CCAUGAGUACAGUGGCGACCGGGUGAGUAACACGUGACUAACCUACCUUCGAGUGGGGGAUAACCUCGGGAAACCGAGGCUAAUACCGCAUAACAUCGAGAGAUCAAAGGAGCAAUUCGCUUGAAGAGGGGGUCGCGGCUGAUUAGCUAGUUGGCGGGGUAAUGGCCCACCAAGGCGAAGAUCGGUAGCCGGCCUGAGAGGGCGCACGGCCACACUGGAACUGAAACACGGUCCAG